rnacentral:lncRNA from 10 species
UUCUGAAAGAGUUCCCCCAAUAAACCUCCUGUACUCAGUCCUCUACCAAGAGUCUGCUUCCGGGGGAAUUUGCCCUAAGAUAGUCGUAACAGGACUGGCCCUAGGAAGGAGACUCUAAAAUGAUAUUUUGGAGCUCCAUCAUCCACUUGCUGGUUUACAAUGAUCUCAUCAUAGACAGCAGAGAAGAGCAUCUCUCUCAGAGGAGGCACUGAACAGCCAAAUACACAGAAGAACUUGUUCGGUUGACAUCCUUCCAUCAGCUUCUGCUAUUGGCCACCUGGAUGCUGGUAAAAUGGGCAGAGAGGUAUAUCAGCCACAACUGUAAACUGGAGAGAACAAGAGCCUCCUAUCCUCUAGGAUUGCUAUGUACCUAAGAUUGUGGUCUGUAUUU